rnacentral:piRNA from 1 species
UGCAGAGGUGGCUGGUUGCUCUUUGAGCC